CCCUGGUGAAGGUGGCUAAAAAAUACUUACUAAUAUCUAUCAUAAUAGCUAAGGUUUACUGAGCACUCAUAUACUAGGCACUGAGCAAAAGGCCAUAUGUAUGCAAUAUUUUGACCUUUACCACAUUUUUAGGAAAUAGGCAUUAUUAUUACCCUCAUUUUAAGAGGUCAGUUAGGCUUAAAGAGUUGGAUGUGCUCAGGUAAGUUAGGAAGGUGGUAGAUGCUUGAUGGAGCCAGGCUACGCACACAAGCCUGGUAUCCAGCCACAAUACAACCCUGCAUCCCCCAUGAGUACCUCCGAAGUCACUUGCCACUAAAGAUUACAGUCUCAGAAAGCACAGCUUUAAUCACAAGAAAUAAGUCCGGGUUAGUGACCUUCUAGCCUCCAGCUGGGAGACAUUAUGGUGCACAAGGGAGUUUUCUUAGUGAUUCUUUGGGUAUUUCAAAUAUGCAUACUUUCUGCCGGGCUAGUCUCAGUUUCCCUGAAAUCAGACCUAAGUUCCUACAGUGAACCAAAAUAAAACUUUCUUUCCUUUUAGGCCUCAAGAGAUUCAAUGUUUUAUGUCUCCAAAGAAAUCGCAUCCACAAUCCAGACAACUUACCUCUCCACAGUACCCGGAUUGGAUCAGAGACGGGAAGAAAGCAGAGGUGGACUGGAGAUGCAGUCUUGAAGGACUGGGGACCGCCAGCAGGGUGGACAGGAGAACCUUCCUGAGGGGCACCAGCAUGUGCCUAGGGGCAGCAGAGAGGCUGAUGUGUUUGGAUAUAAUUGCCAUACAGCUUAAACGGAGUCAAAGGAUGAACAAUAAGCCAAGGAAGGAUGGAAGAGACUCAUAUGGGGGGAAAACAGCCUACCCUGGAGGUCAAACAUCUUAUUGACCUCCUUGGUCAUGAUUCUGGGCUCAGUGUGGUGGCUGAUAAUUAACUGGAGUCUAACAAAUCUGGGACUGAAACCCAGCUGCCCAUCUAUUAACUGUGAGAAGUUGGACAGAUUGUCUCUCUAAGGCUUGACUUCACCAUCUAUAAAAAGAAGAAAAUGAAGAGUACUUCCUCAGAGAACUGUUUUAAGAAUUUAAAUGAGAUAGCCCAUGCAAAGGGCCUAGCAUAUACUAGGUACAAAUAAAGAUUGGUGAUUUUGUUAUCA
rnacentral:lncRNA from 13 species